UUUGGAUCCUAUAUUUGAGGAUUUAAGUUUCAGCUACUUAAAACUAAUACUACUGUUUUUUUCUUUAUAUUUUGUUAUUUUGCCUUUCUGCCAUUUCUUAAUAGUUGUUGAGAAUUCUUUCUUACACACUUCACACUUUUCAGGGAAACAAAGACUUAAGUGAUGUUACUCAUGUUGUAGUAGAUGAAGUACAUGAACACACUGUUUUGGUAUGUACUUGCUCGUGUAUGUUUUUUUCUUUAUGUGCUACAAAAUGUCUUGUUUCUCCCUAUAUGAUAGAUGAAGCACAUGCUUAAUCAUGAUUUGCCCCUUUUAGAGCAACUUUUUGCUGAUUGUUCUUAGGAGUUUGUUGAAAACACUCUAAUCAACCAGGAAGAAAGCUGAAAGUGAUUCUCAUGUAGUGUCCAUUCUCUUAUAUAUUAUUUCUUUUCUUUUCAUAUUUGCAUUUUCUUGUUGCACUGGUUAUUAUGAGAUCUGCCAAUUUAUUUCUUGUUGCUUUAACUUCAUGUCUACAACUGUUGAUUCAAGCCUAUUUGCACGAUAAUUUGGAUAUUGCCCUGUGAUUAGUGUUCAAGUAAGAACACACCCAUUUUCAACUCACUUCUUUGAAGAUGUUUAUGAGAAAAUGGAGUACUGUCUUGCUUUGUAUUCUCGUGCAUCAGGAGCAUACUUCUCACAACAUAGGGAAAAGGUUGCCUUUGCUCAAUUUUUAUUCUCAGUGAGUACACAUCGAUCAACCGUGGGAAACCCUUUUUUAGAACCUUACUGUUGGAGCGACUACUGCUGCUUUAUCUCAUUUACUAUAUCUUGUAAAUAUCCCCUGUUUUCAAACUAUAUAUUAUAUCUUGUAAAUAUCCCUUGUUUUCAAAUUCUACACUGAUCUUAUAAAUUUUCCCAGUUUUCCAUCAUAUGAGAUUAUUACUACAGAACACAUCUUAGGGUUUUGAGAGUGCUAGAUUUAUUUUCAUUGAUCCUUGUUUGAUCACAGUUGUUUAUCUGUUUGUUUUGUCUGGCUUUGUUUAUUUUUUAGUUUUGUAUGCGGGGAUCAUAAGAUGAGAAUGAAAGCGGGGAGGUGCCAUUUCUUUUCGUCAUCAGAUCCCCUUUGCUCG
rnacentral:lncRNA from 1 species